UUUUUCCUGCAUUUUCCUGCGUUUUUCCUGUGUUUUUUUUUCCUGUUUUCCUGCAUCUUGGCUGCUUCUCUGAGGGUGGAAACACACUCGAGACCCCCCCCCCCCCAAAAAAAACCCCAUUUCCCCCCUUUGUCCCCCCUUUCCGGAGCCUGCUGCCCACCCCUCCCGCACGCCGCCGCUGCGGGAGCGGCCGGAAGGAGGCGGGAGCACUUACUGCGCGGCCGCUGCUUCUCCUCGCUCCACCUCCCGCUCCCGCUUCCUGGGCUCCCCGCUCCGCUCCCCGCGGCUCCCGCCGCUCCUCGCCAGCGGCCGCUCGCUGCCGGGCUCUGCCGCCGCUUCGCUCCUUUUGGCUGUUUCCCGGUUUCCUUUUUUCCUAUUUUCUUCUCUAUUUUUUCUAUUUUUUCCUCAACGUUUUGAAUUUUUUCUUUUGGCUCAAUUUCCCCAAAUUUAUUUUCCUCAAUUUUCUUCUUCCUGAAUUUUCUUUUUUUCCUGUUUUCUAUUUUUUCUCUCUUUUAGUUUUUCUCUCAAUUUUUUUUCUCAAUUUCUCGGCAUUAUUUUCUUUUUUUCUAUUUUCUCUUUUAUCUUUUUUGCAGCGUUUUUCCUCAAUUUUUUUCCAAUUUUUCUUUUUUCAUUUUUCUUAUUUUUUCUCAAUUUUAUAUUUUCCUUUUUCAAUUUUUAAUUUUUUUUCUCUUUCCUUUUUGCCUCUUUUUCCUCUAUUUUCUUCUCUUUUUUCCUCUAUUUUUUCCUGUAUUUUCUUUUUCUCUUUUUUCCUCUAUUUUCUUCUCUUUUUUCCUCUAUUUUCUUUUUCUAUUUUUUCCUCUAUUUUUCCUCUAUUUUCUUUUUUUUUCCUCUAUUUUUUCCUGUAUUUUCUUUUUUCUCUUUCUUUCCUCUAUUUUCUCUUCCUAUUUCCUCGCCUGGUUCUUCUCCAUCUCCUCCUCGUCUGUCUCUUCCCUCCGCCGUCUCCUCGGGCUCUCUCUCCCCUCAGGCUGCUGCCGCAUCUACCGCGUCCUUUCCGCGCCGCGGAGCCUCCGGAGCGCUCCCUCAGCCCGUGCCCGGAGCUCCGGAACGGGCCCUAAAGCGGCUUUAGGGGCUGCUCUAAAGAAUGAAAGCGCUUUAGGAGCGUUCUAGAAGCAAGAAACCAGCUUUAAGAGCUGCAGCGAGGAAGAAAUCUGCUUUAGGAGCUCUUCUUCCUCCCACGAAAGCCGCUCGGAAAGGGGGGUUUCCC
rnacentral:lncRNA from 1 species